rnacentral:misc_RNA from 1 species
GAUGAAGAACGCAGCGAAAUGCGAUACGUAAUGUGAAUUGCAGAAUUCAGUGAAUCAUCGAAUCUUUGAACGCAUAUUGCGCUCUCUGGUAUUCCGGAGAGCAUGCUUGUUUGAGUAUCAGUAAACACCUCAACUUCCAUAUCUUUUUUUGAAAUGGGAGUUGGACUUGAGUGAUCCCAACGCUUUUCCUCACCGAAAAGUGGCGGGUUACUUGAAAUGCAGGUGCAGCUGGACUUUUCUCUGAGCUAUAAGCAUAUCUAUUUAGUCUGCCUAAAAAACAGAUUAUUACCUUUGCUGCAGCUAACAUAAAGGAGAUUAGUUCUUGUGCUGACUGAUGCAGGAUUCACAAAGACAGCUUCGGCCGACUUUGUAAACUCGAUCUCAAAUCAAGUAAGACUACCCGCUGAACUUAGGCAUAUCAAUAAGCGGAGGA